rnacentral:rRNA from 1 species
UCGAGAAUCUUCCACAAUGGACGAAAGUCUGAUGGAGCGACGCCGCGUGAUUGAUGAAGUCCUUCGGGACGUAAAGAUCUUUUAUGGGGGAGGAAGUAAUUGACGUUACCCCAUGAAUAAGAGGCUCCUAACUCUGUGCCAGCAGGAGCGGUAAUACAGAGGCCUCAAGCGUUACCCGGAAUCACUGGGCGUAAAGGGUGUGUAGGCGGUAUUGUUAGUCUUUCGUAAAAGCUCUUGGGCUUAACCCAGGAAAUGCGGGAGAAACGGCAGUACUUAGAGGAUGUGAGAGGUAAAGGGAACUCAAGGUGUAGGGGUGAAAUCCGUUGAUAUCUUGGGGAACACCAAAUGCGAAGGCACUUUACUGGCACACUCCUGACGCUGAAACACGAAAGCGUGGGAAUCGAACGGGAUUAGAUACCCCCGUAGUCC